GGAAGGGUGUGUGAGCGGUUGAAACAGCAGGUCUCGAAAACCUGUAGGGUGCAAGCCCUCGUGGGUUCGAAUCCCACCCCUUCCG
rnacentral:tRNA from 1 species